rnacentral:misc_RNA from 1 species
CCGGGUCGGCGACUGCCCGAAACCAAACAGUGCACUGGCAUGUUAUAUUUUUUGUGCCGUCGCGCCGCGGCGGGCUGCUCGCUGGGGGAGCCGCGGGCCCUGGAGGGGGUUUCCUCCUCCCGGGCCGGCCUGCUAAGGGCGCUGUUCAGAACCGCGCUGAAGAACUUUCAGAUGGUGUCCUGGUGGUCUUCGGGCCCCGGACGAGAAAAAAACCCAGUCA